rnacentral:rRNA from 1 species
CCUACGGGUGGCAGCAGUGGGGGAGAGUGCACAAUGGGGGAAACCCUGAUGCAGCGACGCCGCGUGAGUGAAGAAGUAUUUCGGUAUGUAAAGCUCUAUCAGCAGGGAAGAAAAUGACAGUACCUGACCAAGAAGCCCCGGCUAACGACGUGCCAGCAGCCGCGGUAAGACGUAGGGGGCAAUCGUGAUCCGGAUUUACUGGGUGGAAAGGGAGCGUAGACGGUUAUGUAAGUCUGGAGUGAAAGCCCGGGGCCCAACCCCGGGACUGCUUUGGAAACUGGGUAACUGGUGUACAGGAGGGGCAGUCGGAAUUCCUGUUGUCGCGGUUACAUGCGUAGAUAUCAGGAGGAACACCGGCGGCGAAGGCGGCCUGCUGGACUGAACCUGACGUUGAGGCUCGAACGCGUGGGGAGCAAACAGGAUUAGCUACCCUUGUAGUC